CUUCACCUCAGGGUUGGAGCUAUGUAAAUUAAUCUUUAAUUGUUAAGAUCUCCCUUUGUUCCUUUUAAAAAUACAUGAAUUAUACAUGUUUUUUCUUUCCCAAUCCUCCAGGACUUUCUCCAUCUUUUAAUGAUCCUAAGACUAUAGCCAGUGACUCUGCAAACCACUGUCUCCUAAAAUGAAUAACUGGAAAAACUUACCAUUUGCAAUCUGCUUCAUUAUUCACUUCUCAAUGAUUUUCUCAAUUUCUGAUUUGUUUUCUCACUCUUCCCAAACAGAAGUCAUUCAAUCUAGAAUCAAUUUAACAUUCGUUUUUCUAAAAAACUGAGCAUAGCAUUUUUCACUUGAGAACAAAAGCUGUUAAACCACUUUUUCCCCUCGAAGCAUUAAGCUUGAUUUAAAUAUUAUUUUUAUUAGUAUAAAGUAGUUUAGAAAUUCAUUAGGCAAACAACCUAGACCAGUAUAUUUUGCACAGGACUGGCCUAGAAUUGCCCUACCAAAAAAUAGUAAUUUAAGGUUGUGUCUAUUUUUCUAAAUUUCUAAUAUUUCUUGGAAAAGCUGUACCAUCUAUUGUAGCUUAAUUGUUAACACUGUGAAGCACUGUGGAUGUUCCAGGGUUACAGACAUUAUCUGGGUCAUUGGAUUUUGCCCAUUCCUUGUUAAAACAGGAAGAUGGAUCUUUAAAAAUCUAGAUGCUUUUCAUAUCCAAAUCAACUUUUUUCAUUUGAGAUCAAGUUUGUACAUUUCCUACCAGCAUUCCAACCAACAAAAACCAAUGAGGAGAUGAAAUAAAAUGUCACCCAGGUUCCACUUCCUCUAGGUAAAUGAUCAGCAGUGACCAUGAGUCCUCUACUCAGAUCUGUGUUCUACACUUCAUGGUCCUACCUUCAGCGCUAUCUUCUUCCUUCCCCUAGGACCUCAGAGGACUCACCUCUUAAAGAGCCAGUCCCACUGUUGGUUUAAGGCUGCAAUGCUAUGAACUCACUCCAAGUAAACAAGCAAAUGACAGAACAAAUAUAUUUAUAAGGAAUCUACUUUGGAUAAAGAUCACUAACAAGAACACCUGGAUGUAGAUGACCACUACUUGACCGGCUACAUUUCACAAUUUCCAAGGUGGUGGUGGGUGAUCGGGGGAGAUAGAUUAAAGAUAAGAUGAGGCCUCCAAAGACACUAUUUGCUUGUCAGAUUAGUCAGUUUCCUUACUUGUGAAGGUCAGUGGCUUCAGAUUUUUACCUAAAAAGUCAAGCCGCUUACAUAUUUCAGAAUAAAAAUUGCCUUUUCAUGUGAAAGAU